AAAAAAUAGCAGUUUGAAAUACAAUGACUAUAUCAUGAUCGAUCUUUGCAUCUCUAGCAGUCACAGAGUUGUGUAAUUAAAUAGGGUUCCUGAUCCACCAUUUCCUUCUUUUUUAUCCAUUGAUAGCUGAAGAAUACUGAAUUGUUACUUUUUGACCGAUUCAUUUGGUGAUUCUUGCAUUCCUCCAUCUGUAUACAUUAUGUCCCUCUGGUUUCAGUGAUGAG
rnacentral:misc_RNA from 1 species